GAGCAAAGAUGGAGAGGAGGUCCCAGCCCCCGGGGCGCGGUGUUGCGCACGCGGGGGAGCUGGGCCGGGGAUAUGCGCACGUGUGCGCACGCGGCGGACAGGGACUAGGGGUGCAUGUGCGUAUAUAAGCACCUGGGGAGGGGGACAGAAGCUGAGGAGGUGUGCACCUGUGCAUGUACACGGGUUUCCACCCGGCCUCGGACGGUUUCCCAAUUUAACCGCUUUUAUGCUGAUCACGCCCACUCUGCUUCUCCAGUAAAGCCCCUCCCGGCCUAAGACUGUUCAAACCUUAGCGCUGGUUUCUUGAAGGGAGCAGAGAUCUUCGCGUUCUUUCUCUUCAGUACGCGGCACUCAGAGAAACCGGGAUCCAGGAGGAAGAGGGAUGCAGAAAUUGCCAGGCAGGGGAUUGAACCCACACCACAGCCGCAACCCGAGCCACUGCGGUGACAACACAAAUCCUUAAGCUGCUGAGCCACAGGACUCCAGGAUUAGUCAAUCUUAAGGACUCACAUGACUACUUACAGGCUGAAGCCACAGUCCUUUGAGAAGCUCCCCUUGGACCCGACAGCUUCUAGAAGAUCACGGCACCCAGUCUCCCCAGAUGUCUCCUUCCGGCCUCGUUUGCUACUUGAGCGCCCGUCUCUGCUCUUCCUCCGAAACGCCCACCUUGGCCAGGAGAGUAAUUCCUUUCAUCCCCUGACCACCAACCCUGCCGUCCAGCGCGGUGUCCUUCUGGGUGAUUUCAUGUUGCUGAGAUGACAUCGGGCUGUUUUUUAUGGAACCCCACAACGGAAGGUCCGAGGUCCUUCUCCUCGUGUCAUUUCCCUCCUCAGUAGAACCCAUGACCAUCGGCCAGGAGGGAAAGUGCCAGGAGCCAACAGCACGAUUUUGGGAAACUUGAUUUUAUGUUCAACCGAAUGCCUCUGCUCACGUCCCUACUGCUGUCCCCUUACCUCGCCGAGUCAGAGAAGGGCCCUGCAGCUUACCCACUGCAAUGAGGCUGGGGUGACCUCGGGAGGUCAAUGAGCUCGGAUGAGUGAUCUCAGCUCCUCUCUGGCUCAGAUUUCUUUAGCUGAGAAAUAAGAAAAUAAAAAAUAAAGUUCUUUAUAAGA
rnacentral:lncRNA from 1 species